rnacentral:rRNA from 1 species
UACGGGGGGAGCAAGCGUUGUUCGGAUUUACUGGGCGUAAAGCGUGCGCAGGCGGUGAUGUAAGACAGAUGUGAAAUCCCCGGGCUUAACCUGGGAAUGGCAUUUGGGACUGCAAGGCUCGAGUGCGGCAGAGGAGACGUGGAAUUCCUGGUGUAGCAGUGAAAUGCGUAGGAUAUUGGGAGGAACACCAGUGGCGAAGGCGGCUCACUGGACCGGAACUGACGCUGAGGCGCGAAAGCGUGGGGAGCAAACAGG